GCAACAACCUAUUCUUUAGGCAAUCAAAAAAAGCCUAUCCCUACCACCUUCAUCAGACAUCACGCCUCUUUCUUCUGACACAGCCCAUGCUUUGGGCUGCCCAAAACCCAUUUGUCAUAAUGAUAUCCAUGCUUCCUGUCCAUUAAUUCUCCCUCUUUAUCCCUCCACGCAUGCACAUUUAGAUCAGCAGCACCUACUCUCACUGUGAUGUCGUCUUCUUCUUUCCUUCAAACUAAACACCAUAGCAGUUUCAAUAUGCAGCAAAUGAUUCGUGAAGAGGUGGAGGGGAUGGCUCGACCCAAACGUUUUUUAAGCUCAUCAUGUAGAACUCAGUUGUCAACUCCAUCGGAACUCACCGUGGGGAAUCCGACAUGCAACAAGUGUUCAGCUCUUGUUUUAGAUAUUAAUUUUUGUGGACUUUGGGGUAAAUCAAUUGAAUUAAAACAGUUUUUGUUUCAAGCUUUAUGGUGUGAGGGCCAUUUUCCUUCCUGGGUCUGAUUCCAGAAGUGGGUCUUGUGGCACCGGUGUUUUCUUCCCUCGUGGAACCGGCAACCCUUUAGAUUCACGCAAGAAACAGGGAUGCUCCACUGCCCUUAUAGCAGCCAGAGUAGCCCAGGCCCUGAAACUCAACUUUGAUGAAAUGGGUGUUGUAUCACCAUCACUGGGUGGCCGUUUCUCUCUGCAACAUGAUGCGGCACCAGGGCGAAGGAACAGCCUGUAUCCACCGCAGAAGCAGCACUGGCCGGCGCCUCCUGCAAUGAAGCACCAGGAGAUGGAUGUUCCUCGGGGAUGGACUCACUGACACUUGAUGAAGCCCCUCUAAUCUUAUGAUGAAAUGCUCAAGUCACAUAGAAAAAAGGAAAAGGAAAAAAAUGAUAGACAAUGAUCAAAAGCAAAAUAUUGCUGAGAUUUUUCUUCUUUGGUUUUUCAGGAUUUCAAGGGUGAGAAUUUGGAAAAAGGAAAGGAAUAAAAGUUGUCUGGGAGGGAAAAGUAGAGAGUCUAUAAGGGUUAUCAUUAGGAAUGAUGAUGAUUUAGGUACGAUUAGUGGUUGGUGGGGGGCGGGGAUUGGCCUUUUGGAAAAGCGCUUGUAAUAAUGUUAGAGAUGUUAACAAAAGAGAGUUGCCCUGCUUACAUCUCUUUGUUUCCUCUCUUCUACCAGUACCAUUUUAGCUUUCAAUAAUUUCCCCUUAUUUUUUGUAUGGUCAAGAAAAUGUUUGUUGUGAAACUAAAAAUUGUUCCUUGAAAUUUGCCCCUUUGUUUAUGCA